UAGGGAAUCUUCCACAAUGGACGCAAGUCUGAUGGAGCAACGCCGCGUGAGUGAAGAAGGCUUUCGGGUCGUAAAACUCUGUUAUUGAAGAAGAACGUGUGUGACAGUAACUGGUCAUGCAGUGACGGUAUUCAAUCAGAAAAGUCACGGCUAACUACGUGCCACAGCCGCGGUAAUACGUAGGUGGCAAGCGUUGUCCGGAUUUAUUGGGCGUAAAGCGAGUGCAGGCGGUCUUUUAAGUCUGAUGUGAAAGCCUUCGGCUUAACCGAAGAAGGGCAUCGGAAACUGGGAGACUUGAGUGCAG
rnacentral:rRNA from 1 species